rnacentral:rRNA from 1 species
AACGAACGCUGGCGGCAUGCCUAACACAUGCAAGUCGAACGAGACCUUCGGGUCUAGUGGCGCACGGGUGCGUAACGCGUGGGAACCUGCCCUUAGGUUCGGAAUAACUCCCCGAAAGGGGUGCUAAUACCGGAUAAUGUCUUCGGACCAAAGAUUUAUCGCCUUUGGAUGGGCCCGCGUUGGAUUAGCUAGUUGGUAGGGUAAAAGCCUACCAAGGCGACGAUCCAUAGCUGGUCUGAGAGGAUGAUCAGCCACACUGGGACUGAGACACGGCCCAGACCCCCAGGGGAGGCAGGAGGGGGGAAUUUGGGAAAAGGGGCAAAAGCCGAAUCCAGCAAGGCCGGGGGGGGGAGAAAGGCUUUGGGGUUGAAAAGCUUUUUUACCCGGGAGGAAAAGGACAGUACCGGGAAAAAAAGCCCCGGCAAACUCCGU